AUUGAACGCUGGCGGCAUGCUUUACACAUGCAAGUCGAACGGUAACAGGCCGCAAGGUGCUGACGAGUGGCGAACGGGUGAGUAAUGCAUCGGAACGUGCCCAGUCGUGGGGGAUAACGCAGCGAAAGCUGCGCUAAUACCGCAUACGAUCUAUGGAUGAAAGCGGGGGACCGUAAGGCCUCGCGCGAUUGGAGCGGCCGAUGUCAGAUUAGGUAGUUGGUGGGUUAAAGGCUCACCAAGCCAACGAUCUGUAGCUGGUCUGAGAGGACGACCAGACACACUGGGACUGAGACACGGCCCAGACUCCUACGGGAGGCAGCAGUGGGGAAUUUUGGACAAUGGGCGCAAGCCUGAUCCAGCAAUGCCGCGUGCAGGAAGAAGGCCUUCGGGUUGUAAACUGCUUUUGUACGGAACGAAACGGUCCUGGUUAAUACCUGGGGCUAAUGACGGUACCGUAAGAAUAAGCACCGGCUAACUACGUGCCAGCCGCCGCGGUAACAC
rnacentral:rRNA from 1 species